UGUUGUCAUGGGUAAAAAGUUUUUUAACC
rnacentral:miRNA from 1 species